UACGGGGGGGGCAAGCGUUGUUCGGAAUUACUGGGCGUAAAGGGCUCGUAGGCGGCCAAUUAAGUCGGACGUGAAAUCCCUCAGCUUAACUGGGGAACUGCGUUCGAUACUGGAUGGCUUGGAUUUGGGAGAGGGAUGCGGAAUUCCAGGUGUAGCGGUGAAAUGCGUAGAUAUCUGGAGGAACACCGGUGGCGAAGGCGGCAUCCUGGACCAACAUUGACGCUGAGGAGCGAAAGCUAGGGGAGCAAACGGG
rnacentral:rRNA from 1 species